rfam:Salmo salar isolate Sally breed double haploid chromosome ssa28, whole genome shotgun sequence.
GUGUUGUAUGACAGGAGAGAAGGUUAGCACUCCUCUUGACAAGGAUGAAAAAGGCCCUAGUCAGUAGACUAGGGCCUUCAACACACAUAUGGUUAAGGCACUUCGUGGCAUCUUGAAUGUGGUCCAUUCUGGCU